AUGAUUCAGCGGCGGACGGGUGAGUAAUGCCUAGGAAUCUGCCUGGUAGUGGGGGACAACGUUUCGAAAGGAACGCUAAUACCGCAUACGUCCUACGGGAGAAAGCAGGGGACCUUCGGGCCUUGCGCUAUCAGAUGAGCCUAGGUCGGAUUAGCUAGUUGGUGGGGUAAUGGCUCACCAAGGCGACGAUCCGUAACUGGUCUGAGAGGAUGAUCAGUCACACUGGAACUGAGACACGGUCCAGACUCCUACGGGAGGCAGCAGUGGGGAAUAUUGGACAAUGGGCGAAAGCCUGAUCCAGCCAUGCCGCGUGUGUGAAGAAGGUCUUCGGAUUGUAAAGCACUUUAAGUUGGGAGGAAGGGCAGUAAGCUAAUACCUUGCUGUUUUGACGUUACCGACAGAAUAAGCACCGGCUAACUUCGUGCCAGCAGCCGCGGUAAUACGAAGGGUGCAAGCGUUAAUCGGAAUUACUGGGCGUAAAGCGCGCGUAGGUGGUUCGUUAAGUUGGAUGUGAAAGCCCCGGGCUCAACCUGGGAACUGCAUCCAAAACUGGCGAGCUAGAGUAUGGCAGAGGGUGGUGGAAUUUCCUGUGUAGCGGUG
rnacentral:rRNA from 1 species